GUCUAGGAGUUGUUGCAAACUUGCAAUUGUUUAUACUGUUUUUGUUGAUUCUUGAAAUGUAACUAGGAUCUGCUUAAGCUUAAUGAGAUAUAUAUAUAUAACACUGUUCAUUCUUCUUUGUUCUUUCUUUUCACUGUUUGUAUCUCUCCCAGCUAUUGGGAAGUUCACCACAAGUAGAUUUCUGUUUUUGUAAGGAGAUUUGUUGCCAA
rnacentral:misc_RNA from 1 species